AUUGAACGCUGGCGGCAUGCCUUACACAUGCAAGUCGAACGGCAGCACGGGUGCUUGCACCUGGUGGCGAGUGGCGAACGGGUGAGUAAUACAUCGGAACAUGUCCUGUAGUGGGGGAUAGCCGGGCGAAAGCCGGAUUAAUACCGCAUACGAUCUACGGAUGAAAGCGGGGGCCCUUCGGGCCUCGCGCUAUAGGGUUGGCCGAUGGCUGAUUAGCUAGUUGGUGGGGUAAAGGCCUACCAAGGCGACGAUCAGUAGCUGGUCUGAGAGGACGACCAGCCACACUGGGACUGAGACACGGCCCAGACUCCUACGGGAGGCAGCAGUGGGGAAUUUUGGACAAAGGGCGAAAGCCUGAUCCAGCAAUGCCGCGUGUGUGAAGAAGGCCUUCGGGUUGUAAAGCACUUUUGUCCGGAAAGAAAUCCUUGGCUCUAAUACAGUCGGGGGAUGACGGUACCGGAAGAAUAAGCACCGGCUAACUACGUG
rnacentral:rRNA from 1 species